rnacentral:sRNA from 1 species
CCGGAUGACCGGUCGACAUCUGUGCAUCGGCAGGAGUGGAGGACCCAGCAAGGCGGGCUGUCCGGGAGACCGGCCGGCCCUUGGGGUGAAGUCGUUGUACGACCGGGCAUCUUCGCCUGCCCGAACCCGACAGGUCAUCCUUCACAGGCGGCUGACGAAGGGUUGC